UCGUCUGCGGUGUAUCAGAGAUUAGUUUACUUUCUUUUACUAAACAAUGCAUUAUCUCCUCUGCUACUGCUGUUGUUCUGUGUAUCUUUGUAAUUUUGAAAUGUACUUUAUUUUAGGUAUUCAAGAAAUGGCAACAUCCAGAAGAAGACGCCAUCUUAUCCAGCACGUUAUGGGUACACUCUGGUGGCUCCCGCCCCUGCAUCCUACGACCACCGUGUCCUCACUAUGUUCACUAGGGAGUUCGAAGCCUUUGGCGGCUCCUGCCACUGCGUCCUGCCACCACCGUGUCCUGACUACGUCCACUAGGGAGUUGGCAGCCUUCGUGAUGAUGCCAAGCAGGCUGGAAGCUGACAGAAAGAUCGAGGUUACCUCGAAAUCUUACCCAAGCCGUGCCACACACUUGGGCCAGGCCUCUUGCAAACGACGUAUAACCAGGCUCAACGCAUGAUGUCGAGUGAGUCCGGAGAUCGAGGCAACCUGCUGUGCAACCAGCGUGCAACCUUUGGUGACCCUCAAC